rnacentral:rRNA from 1 species
GGUUUAGACCGUCGUGAGACAGGUUGGUUGCUAUCUAAUAGAAGUGUUUUGUUGCUUGAGCGGAAGGUGGUUCCAGUACGAGAGGAACGAGCCGUCGGUGUCUCUGGUCUACCAGUUGUCCGAUAGGGCAUCGCUGGGCAGCUACGCACUAUGAUAAUAAAGGCUGAAAGCAUCUAAGCCUGAGGUAUUCCGUGAAAAUAAGCAGCUUUUUUAGGGUAUGAGUAGAAGACUUGUUUGAUGGGAUUGGGAUGUAAGCUUCGAGAUUUUUUUCGAGUUGUUAAGUCCGCAGUUUCCAACACCCGAUUUUCACAAUUU